GCUAUGGAGUGUCAUAUAAACUGUAGUAGCUUAGGCAAGGCAGGACACUGCGAAGUAGUGA
rnacentral:ncRNA from 1 species